GACGAACGCUGGCGGCGUGCCUAACACAUGCAAGUCGAACGGAACUGUUUUGAAAGAUUUCUUCGGAAUGAAUUUGAUUUAGUUUAGUGGCGGACGGGUGAGUAACGCGUGAGUAACCUGCCUUCAAGAGGGGAAUAACAUUCUGAAAAGAGUGCUAAUACCGCAUGACAUAUCGGAACCACAUGGUUUUGAUAUCAAAGAUUUUAUCGCUUGAAGAUGGACUCGCGUCCGAUUAGUUAGUUGGUGAGGUAACGGCUCACCAAGACCGCGAUCGGUAGCCGGACUGAGAGGUUGAACGGCCACAUUGGGACUGAGACACGGCCCAGACUCCUACGGGAGGCAGCAGUGGGGGAUAUUGCGCAAUGGGGGCAACCCUGACGCAGCAACGCCGCGUGAAGGAUGAAGGUUUUCGGAUUGUAAACUUCUUUUAUUAAGGACGAAAAAUGACGGUACUUAAUGAAUAAGCUCCGGCUAACUACGUG
rnacentral:rRNA from 1 species